UACGUAGGGGGCAAGCGUUGUCCGGAUUUAUUGGGCGUAAAGAGCGUGUAGGCGGCCAGGUAGGUCCGCUGUGAAAACUCGAGGCUCAACCUCGAGAUGUCGGCGGAAACCAUCUGGCUAGAGUCCGGAAGAGGAGAGUGGAAUUCCUGGUGUAGCGGUGAAAUGCGCAGAUAUCAGGAAGAACACCCGUGGCGAAGGCGGCUCUCUGGGACGGUACUGACGCUGAGACGCGAAAGCGUGGGGAGCGAUCAGG
rnacentral:rRNA from 1 species